UUUCAAGAUUGCACAUCCGAUAAAAUUGGAAUGAUACAGAGAAGAUUAGCAUGCCUAUGUGCAAGGAUGACACGCACAAAUUGAGAAAUGGUCCAAAAUUAU
rnacentral:snRNA from 1 species